rnacentral:lncRNA from 1 species
AGGAGGUCCAGUUUAAUAAAAGGAUGAGUUUGGCAACUGAAGAACUGCAGUUUCCAGCAAUUUCAGGCUUUCCUGUUCAACUGGCAGUCAAUGCCUCAGCAGCAAUCAACAUAAAAAUCAAAGGGAAUGCCAAUUUCAAACAACAGUCUGAUUUCUUUCUAAAUGGAUAUAUCAAGCCAAGUGCAUUUGUUCAGCUUUCUGUCCAAAUGGGAAUUGUGGGGACUCUGGGACAAGCUGGCCUAACGUGGUUAACAGGAAUGAGGACAUCUACUAGUCUUGAUGGGGGAAUCCAGGUGAAGAAAGGGAAAGAGCUCAAAGUUUUCUUGAACACGCCAGAAGACUCUAUGGAGAUCAUUAAUUUCAGCUCUAAACUCCACUUCAGAAUGGUGGAUGAAACAGAAAAUACAGAUGUCUUCCAAGACCACACAGAAACCAGAUCUUGCACUAG